GAUCAGAAUUGAAUCGUCUAUUAAAUAAGUUAUGCUUGUUUUCAGCAAAGAUUCCGAUGUGUUUCUAAUGAACUUCAAACAAUUUAUAUAUUAUGCAAUUAUCGGAAUUAAGUUUUCUUUUGAAAUAGUAAUGUUGAUGUGUGAUCAGGAUUAAGAAAUGUCUUUGAAUGUCUAUAAGCUAUUUCUAUGAGCUUUACAAAAUGUGGUGUUUUGAUGAAGCAGUCAUUGAUGUUGCUUUGAAGAAUUAAA
rnacentral:lncRNA from 1 species